GGCCUUCGGGAACGUCUGACACAGGUGCUGCAUGGCUGUCGUCAGCUCGUAUCGUGAGAUGUUGGGUUAAGUCCGUAACGAGCGCAACCCUUGUCCUUAGUUACCAGCACGUUAUGGUGGGCGACUCUAAGGAGACUGCCGGUGACAAACCGGAGGAAGGUGGGGAUGACGUCAAGUCAUCAUGGCCCUUACGGCCUGGGCUACACACGUGCUACAAUGGUCGGUACAAAGGGUUGCCAAGCCGCGAGGUGGAGCUAAUCCCAUAAAACCGAUCGUAGUCCGGAUCGCAGUCUGCAACUCGACUGCGUGAAGUCGGAAUCGCUAGUAAUCGUGAAUCAGAAUGUCACGGUGAAUACGUUCCCGGGCCUU
rnacentral:rRNA from 1 species